rnacentral:rRNA from 1 species
AUUGAACGCUGGCGGCAGGCCUAACACAUGCAAGUCGAACGAGUGGCGGACGGGUGAGUAAUGUCUGGGAAACUGCCUGAUGGGGGGGGAUAACUACUGGAAACGGUAGCUAAUACCGCAUACUAUCAGAUGUGCCCAGAUCGGAUUAGCGUGUUGGUGGGGUAACGGCUCACCAAGGCGACGAUCCCUAGCUGGUCUGAGAGGAUGACCAGCCACACUGGAACAGAGACACGCUCCAAACUCCUACGGGAGGAAGCAGUGGGAAAUAUUGCACAAUGGGAGAAAGCCGGAGGAAGCCAUGCCGCGUGUAUGAAGAAGGCCUUCGGGUUGUAAAGUACUUUCAGCGGGGAGGCGUUACCAGCAGAAGAGGCACCGGCUAACUCCGUGCCAGCAGCCGCGGUAAUC